GAGUUGCGAACGGGUGAGUAACGCGUAGGUAACCUGCCUGGUAGCGGGGGAUCCUAUUGAAAACGAUAGCUAAUACCGCAUAAUAUUAAUUAUUGAAUGAUAAUUAAAUGAAAGGUGCAAUUGCACCGCUACCUUAUGGACCUGCGUUGUAUUCUCUUUGAAGUGAGGUAACGGCUCACCUAGGCGACGAUACCUAACCGACCUGAGAGGGUGAUCGGCCACCCUGGGACUGAGACACGGCCCAGACUCCUACGGGAGGCAGCAGUAGGGAAUCUUCGUCAAUGGACGAAAGUCUGACCGAGCUCCGCCGCGUGAGUGAACAAGGUUUUCGGAUCGUAAAGCUCUGAUGGACGAGAAGAACGGGUGUGAGAGUGCAAAAUUGACACUGCGACUCUAUCUUACCUUAAAGGGACGGCUAAAUACGUGCCAGCUCCCCCGGUAAUAUCUAAGUCCCGAGCGUGGUCCGGAUUUAUUGGGCGUAAAGCGAGCGCAGGCGGUUAGAUAAGUCUGAAGUUAAAGGCUGUGGCUUAACCAUAGUACGCUUUGGAAACUGUUUAACUUGAGUGCAGAAGGGGAGAGUGGAAUUCCAUGUGUAGCGGUGAAAUGCGUAGAUAUAUGGAGGAACACCGGUGGCGAAAGCGGCUCUCUGGUCUGUAACUGACGCUGAGGCUCGAAAGCGUGGGGAGCGAACAGGAUUAGAUACCCUGGUAGUCCACGCCGUAAACGAUGAGUGCUAGGUGUUAGGCCCUUUCCGGGGCUUAGUGCCGCAGCUAACGCAUUAAGCACUCCGCCUGGGGAGUACGACCGCAAGGUUGAAACUCAAAGGAAUUGACGGGGGCCCGCACAAGCGGUGGAGCAUGUGGUUUAAUUCGAAGCAACGCGAAGAACCUUACCAGGUCUUGACAUCCCGAUGCCCGCUCUAGAGAUAGAGUUUUACUUCGGUACAUCGGUGACAGGUGGUGCAUGGUUGUCGUCAGCUCGUGUCGUGAGAUGUUGGGUUAAGUCCCGCAACGAGCGCAACCCUUAUUGUUAGUUGCCAUCAUUCAGCUGGGCACUCUAGCGAGCCUGCCGGUAAUCAACCGGAGGAAGGUGGGGAUGACGUCAAAUCAUCAUGCCCCUUAUGACCUGGGCUACACACGUGCUACAAUGGCUGGUACAACGAGUCGCAAGUCUCGUGACGAGCAAGCUAAUCUCUUAAAGCCAGUCUCAGUUCGGAUUGUAGCUGCAACUCGCCUACAUGAAGUCGGAAUCGCUAGUAAUCGCGGAUCAGCACGCCGCGGUGAAUACGUUCCCGGGCCUUGUACACACCGCCCGUCACACCACGAGAGUUUGUAACACCCGAAGUCGGUGAGGUAACCCUUUUAGGAGCCAGCUCGCCUAAUGUGGGAUAGAUGAUUGGGG
rnacentral:rRNA from 1 species